rnacentral:rRNA from 1 species
CCGACGGUGAGGGGUGAAAGCUGGGGGAGCAAACCGGAUUAGAUACCCGGGUAGUCCCAGCUGUAAACGAUGCGCGUUAGGUGUGUCAGUGACCACGUGUCACUGAUGUGCCGAAGGGAAACCGUGAAACGCGCCGCCUGGGGAGUACGGUCGCAAGGCUGAAACUUAAAGGAAUUGGCGGGGAGCACCACAACGGGUGGAGCCUGCGGUUUAAUCGGACUCAACGCCGGAAAUCUCACCGGAUAAG